rnacentral:rRNA from 1 species
GUGCCAGCAGCCGCGGUAAUACGUAGGUCCCGAGCGUUGUCUGGAUUUAUUGGGCGUAAAGCGAGCGCAGGCGGUUUAAUAAGUCUGAAGUUAAAGGCAGUGGCUUAACCAUUGUUCGCUUUGGAAACUGUUAAACUUGAGUGCAGAAGGGGAGAGUGGAAUUCCAUGUGUAGCGGUGAAAUGCGUAGAUAUAUGGAGGAACACCGGUGGCGAAAGCGGCUCUCUGGUCUGUAACUGACGCUGAGGCUCGAAAGCGUGGGGAGCAAACAGGAUUAGAU